AACGAAAUACUUAGGUCUUAGGUGUGUUGUACCUGAUCGAUUAAUCCAGCGAGAUGUUCUAUCCCAGGAUACAUUUCCAGACAUUUCCUGAGGGCUUUUCUCGGAUCAGUCUUGAAUGCUUUCCUUUUCAACCGGAAAAUAGCUGAUCAAUGAACAUCGUCUUCGCCGGCACCUAUCACGGUUUUAGAGUAUGAAGGGCUUUAUGCCGUGCCUUUCCUUUAACCGAAAAACCGGAAAAGAAAGAGGGUUCGCUCUUGGCCUAUUAGUUGGCUUAGCCGAUAUGAGCUUAUAUAGUCUCGGUCCUAUGAAUCUGACCGUACUUCCCGAGCCCGAGGGUCGAGCUGCGUUAAGCUCUUCUUAUCAGAUUCUGUUAACGCCGUCAACGCGAACUGCUGAUGCGGCUGCUGACGGUUCUCUCAUUUUUCCUUUCUUCUAGCGGGAUGGCACUGUCUCGCGAAGCUGGAAAUGAGUGGCUAGGUCUUGUGUUCCCGGGCUAGGAUUUCGAUAACUAUUCUGCACCUCCUCCCGUAAGUUCUACCUCCGGAAAGACUUAAUCCAUUCACUUUUGGCCUUAAGGGAAUAGAGGAAAUGAAAUUACUAACGAGACCAAGUUUUUCGGGGAAGUGACUUUUCGCUUGGACCCGGCCUUUAAAGAAUGUCGCCGGAUUGGAAUGAAUUCCACUCUACGAAGCAAGUAAGUAUGAAACUAAUCUAAUACAUUCUCGGUUGGAACCAGUUGUUUUGGUUCUUGAAUUGGUCUCAUCGUUAGCAAGCGGGCACCUACGAAGCUGAUAAGCCGUUGAAAGCUUUGGCCGACCCGAGGUCACGCAUCUUUCUGCCGAAAACAAUUCGUUUUAACUGGGCCAAGUUAACCAGCCCCAGAGCCUAUCCAUCCCCCCUAGCAUCAAAGGAGGACAUCCUACCGGGCCCAUCACCAAGGAAGCUGAAAUCCAAGGCAUUGGUUUGAGACUACCAAUCUAGUGAUCCUGAUCUUGCUCUUUCUUUCCAGCUCUCAGUUUCU
rnacentral:lncRNA from 1 species